rnacentral:rRNA from 1 species
AGAGUUUGAUCAUGGCUCAGAUUGAACGCUGGCGGCAGGCCUAACACAUGCAAGUCGAGCGGAUGAAGGGAGCUUGCUCCUGGAUUCAGCGGCGGACGGGUGAGUAAUGCCUAGGAAUCUGCCUGGUAGUGGGGGAUAACGUCCGGAAACGGGCGCUAAUACCGCAUACGUCCUGAGGGAGAAAGUGGGGGAUCUUCGGACCUCACGCUAUCAGAUGAGCCUAGGUCGGAUUAGCUAGUUGGUGGGGUAAAGGCCUACCAAGGCGACGAUCCGUAACUGGUCUGAGAGGAUGAUCAGUCACACUGGAACUGAGACACGGUCCAGACUCCUACGGGAGGCAGCAGUGGGGAAUAUUGGACAAUGGGCGAAAGCCUGAUCCAGCCAUGCCGCGUGUGUGAAGAAGGUCUUCGGAUUGUAAAGCACUUUAAGUUGGGAGGAAGGGCAGUAAGUUAAUACCUUGCUGUUUUGACGUUACCAACAGAAUAAGCACCGGCUAACUUCGUGCCAGCAGCCGCGGUAAUACGAAGGGUGCAAGCGUUAAUCGGAAUUACUGGGCGUAAAGCGCGCGUAGGUGGUUCAGCAAGUUGGAUGUGAAAUCCCCGGGCUCAACCUGGGAACUGCAUCCAAAACUACUGAGCUAGAGUACGGUAGAGGGUGGUGGAAUUUCCUGUGUAGCGGUGAAAUGCGUAGAUAUAGGAAGGAACACCAGUGGCGAAGGCGACCACCUGGACUGAUACUGACACUGAGGUGCGAAAGCGCGGGGAGCAAACAGGAUUAGAUACCCUGGUAGUCCACGCCGUAAACGAUGUCGACUAGCCGUUGGGAUCCUUGAGAUCUUAGUGGCGCAGCUAACGCGAUAAGUCGACCGCCUGGGGAGUACGGCCGCAAGGUUAAAACUCAAAUGAAUUGACGGGGGCCCGCACAAGCGGUGGAGCAUGUGGUUUAAUUCGAAGCAACGCGAAGAACCUUACCUGGCCUUGACAUGCUGAGAACUUUCCAGAGAUGGAUUGGUGCCUUCGGGAACUCAGACACAGGUGCUGCAUGGCUGUCGUCAGCUCGUGUCGUGAGAUGUUGGGUUAAGUCCCGUAACGAGCGCAACCCUUGUCCUUAGUUACCAGCACCUCGGGUGGGCACUCUAAGGAGACUGCCGGUGACAAACCGGAGGAAGGUGGGGAUGACGUCAAGUCAUCAUGGCCCUUACGGCCAGGGCUACACACGUGCUACAAUGGUCGGUACAAAGGGUUGCCAAGCCGCGAGGUGGAGCUAAUCCCAUAAAACCGAUCGUAGUCCGGAUCGCAGUCUGCAACUCGACUGCGUGAAGUCGGAAUCGCUAGUAAUCGUGAAUCAGAAUGUCACGGUGAAUACGUUCCCGGGCCUUGUACACACCGCCCGUCACACCAUGGGAGUGGGUUGCUCCAGAAGUAGCUAGUCUAACCGCAAGGGGGACGGUUACCACGGAGUGAUUCAUGACUGGGGUGAAGUCGAACAAGGUAGCCGUAGGGGAACCUGCGGCUG